AGGCAGGCAGCGGAACCACUGAGCUAAAUUCCCAGCCCCUAUCCAAUUUCUGUUGACUCAAAGAAUGCACUGGUGAAAUCACUGGGACUGAGUAUUUGCUCUGUGGAAGGUUUAAACCCAUUCAAAUUGUGCUUGCUGCUCGCUUUGGCAGCACAUAUACUAAAUCCAUUCAAAUUAUUUAAUUUUCAGGCUUUUUAUAUUUUUCUUCAGGCAGUUCUGGCAAAAUAUAUUUCUCUAGGAAUCUAUUUUUUUCUCUCUUUUUUUUUUUUCUUUGUGUGGAACAGGGGAUAGAACCCAGGGCUUUGUGGUUCCUGGGCUCUACAACUGAGCUGUAUCUUCAGCUCUGCAAUCUAUUAAUUUUCUAUAAGUUCUCAUAUCUACUGACAGUUAGUGUAAUAACUCUUAUCUAUUUAUUCUCUAGCAUAUUGGGCACAAUGUGUUUUUUGUAUCUCUUCUAAUAUUAUUUAUGCAUUCUGUGUUUUGGGGUUUUUUUUGGUACCAGGGAUCAAACUUGGGACCUUGUGCUUGCAAGGCAGGCAGCAGAACCACUGAGCUAAAUCCCAGGCCCUCCUUCCUUCUAUUUCCCUUAGGUUUAUUCUUUUGAGUUUCUAACUUCUAAGUUCCUUAUUUUGAGACUUUUUUAAUGGUUUUUUUGAGAUAGGGUCUCAGCAUGUAGUUCAGGCUGGCCUUGAACUCACUAUGUAGCUCAGGCUGGCCUUGAACUUGUGCAGAUCCUCCUGUCAAGUGCUGGCAUUACUAGCAUAUUUUGAGUCUUAGUUAUUUCUUAAUGUAAACACUACUCUUAUAAAUUUCCUCCUAAGUACUACUUUAGUUGUAUCUCAUAGGUUUUUUGUUUUGUUUUGGUACUGGGGAUCGAACUCAGGUCCUUGCACUUGCAAAGCAGGCAGCGGAACCACUGAGCUAAAUCCCUGGCCCCUCAUAGGUUAUGAUAUACAUUAUUCUCAUCAUUUAUUUUUAAGAAUUUUCUAAUUUCUAUUAUGAUUUCUUCUUUGACCCACGUUAUUGAACGUGCAUUUAAAAAUUUUCCAAACAUACAUUUUCUCCCCUGUAAUUAUCCUUUUUUGUAACUGGUUUCUAAUUUAAUUGCAUUUAGAUAUUUGUGAGGCUAACUUUAUAGUUGGGCACGUGAUCAAUUUUUUGGAAAUGUUCCAUGUGUACUUGAAAAGACAGUUUAUUCUCUAAUUGUUAGAAAUAAUGUUAUUUCUAUUAAGCCAGAUUAUUAAUUGUGGUAUUCAAAAUAUUUUAUAUGGGGGUAUAGCUCAGGGGCAGAGCAUUUGACUGCAAAAUAUUUUACAUAGUUCAUGACUUUGGUGGUCUAUUUGAACUGUCAAAUACUGGAGGAGUUUGUUAAUAUACCCCCUAUGAUAAUGGAUUAAUCAAUUUUUGCUUUUAUGUAUUUUAUAAAAGGCUUUAAAUUUUUAAAUUUUAUGUACAAAAAUCUAGUAUGGUCUUUUCCUUUGGGUGGAUGUCUAGGAUGAUCCACUGGAGGAAGAUAACUUAAUACAACUUCCUUAUAUCCUUCAAGUACUGAUGGAAAACUCCUGGUCAUAUUUCUAAAUCAGACAGAUAGAUUUGAGCAAAUGCAGCAAGAGCAUGAACCCUGGUGAAAUUUUUCAACACAUAAUGCUGGGAGAACUGAGUAUCAACAUGCAGAGAAUGAAGUUGAACCCUUACUUCACACUAUGUGCAAAAAGUAACUCAUGUAGAUCAGUGACAUAAAGGGUCUUGCUAAGUCACUAAGUUGCCCAGGCUGACCUCAAACUCACAGCAAUCCUCCUGCCUCAGCCGCUUAAAUGCUGGGAUCCUAGGCUGUGCUACCGUGCCUGGCUCUCCUGAGGGUUUCUGGUUAACAAAGCAAGUAUUGUUUUACAUAGGCUAAGGUCUUCUAAACAUAGCGUAAACCCAUUCUCAUCCUCAUCUGAAAAAGAGGUGUUCCUUCUUAAUUUUCCUAACACUGCCAAUAAAUAUUCUAUAUGAUCAACCCCCAAUUUUAUAUGGAUAGUGAUUUUUUCUUACCUCUUUUAUUGAACUUGCUUUCUAAUGACCAGAAUAAUACAUUCCUUAUACAAGUGAAAGUUUAAAUACAUAAAAGUUAUUCUCAUCCUACCAUCCAUAGAUAAUCUAUCUCUCUCUGGUAUAUGUAAUUUUGCAUAUGGAAAUAUUCAAAUUAUUUUAAUAUGCCAGAAAUAUUAUAUACUUUUUGUUUUAUAAUAGAUCUUUAAAUUUAAAAUAAUGUGAAUUUCAUUUUUAAUGACUUUGUAGAAUCAAACUGUAUAGCAUAAUGGAGUCAACCAUUUUAUUAGAUCUUUUUCUCUAUAUGUUAUAGAUGCUUGUAGAUUUUUUUUAAUUUUUAUUUUUCUUUGGUACUGGGGAUCGAACUCAGGUCUUUGUACUUGAGCAGCAGGCAGCAAAACCACUGAGCUAAAUCCCAGGCCCUCUUGUAGAUAUUUUUGUGUUGAUGUCUCAUUACUUUUAUUUUUUUUUGAGACGGAGUCCUGCUUUGUAGUUCACACUGGACUUGAACUCACUAUGUAGCUCACACUGGCCUCAAAUUCAUGGCAAUCUUCCUGCCUCAGCCUCCCAAGUGCUGGGAUCAUAGGUGUGGGCCAUCAAAUCUGGCUAAUUUUUAAUUAAUUAAUUAAUUAUUUUGAGAUAGGGUCUCACUAUGUAGCCCAGGCUGGCCUUGAACUCUUGUGAUCCUCCUGCCUCAGCCUCCUGAGUGCUGGGAUUACAGGCAAGUGCCACCAUGCCUGGCUUACUUUGGUUUUUUUUUUUUUUUGGUACUGGGAAUCGAACUAAGGUCUUUCCGCUUUUGAGGCAGGCAGCGAAACCACUGAGCUAAAUCCCCAGCCCUUACUUUGGUUUUUUACCUCAUGUCGUUUUUCUAUUCCAGGAUACCACAUUGCAUUUAAUCCUCAUGUCUUAGACUCCUCUUGGCUAUGACAGCUUCUUAGACUUCUUUCAUUUUUGAUAACCUUUACAAUUUUGAGAAGUAUUGGUCAGGUAUUCAUUGUAGUAUAUUCAUUAGGAUUUUUCUGAUUUUCUUCAUGACUAGGCUGGGGUUAUAGAUUUUGGGGAAGAAGACCAGAGAGAUAAAGUGCUAUUGUCACUAUACAACACCAAGAAUGCAUGCUAUCAACAUGACAUCACUUGCUGAGAUAAUGUUUGUCAUUUUAUUCAUUAUAAAAUUGCUCUCUUCCCUUGCCCCCUUUCCAUGUGUACUCCUUGGAAGGGUGUCACUGUGCACAGCUUACCCUUAAGGAGAGAGAAGUCAAUGAUCUCUUAA
rnacentral:lncRNA from 1 species